AACGAACGCUGGCGGCAGGCCUAACACAUGCAAGUCGAGCGCGCCCUUCGGGGUGAGCGGCGGACGGGUGAGUAACGCGUGGGAACGUGCCCUUUUCUACGGAAUAGCCUCGUGAAACUGAGAGUAAUACAGUAUAAGCUCUUUGGGGGAAAGAUUUAUCGGAAAAGGAUCGGCGCGCGUUGGAUUAGGUAGUUGGUGGGGUAAUGGCCUACCAAGGAGUAGAUACAUAGCUGGUUUGAGAGGAAGAGCAGCCACACUGAGAGUCGGACACGGCCCAGACUCCUGCGGGAGGCAGCAGUGGGGAAUCUUAGACAAUGGGGGCAACCCUGAACGAGCCAUGCCGGGUGAGUGAUGAAGGCCUGAGAGAAGUAAAGCUCGUUCAGCUGGGAAGAUAAUGACGGUACCAGCAGAAGAAGCCCCGGCUAACUCCGUG
rnacentral:rRNA from 1 species